rnacentral:misc_RNA from 1 species
UUCGAGCGUCAUUACACCACUCAAGCCUGGCUUGGUAUUGGGCGACGGGGACUUCUCCCGCGCCUUUAAUUGAUCGGCUGGACGGUUCGAAUCUCAGCGUUGUGGUUUCAUCAAAUCGCUCACGAGGAGGACCGGACGCGCCGUAAAACUUUCAUUACAAGGUUGACCUCGGAUCGGGUAGGGAUACCCGCUGAACUUAA